GUACGUGAAACAGUUCAAGGGGAAAUGGGAGAAAUCCUGACUUUGAAAGGGGUUGGGGAUCAACCACCUCCUGGGCCCGCUCAGGCCGUCGGGCGCCCGCGGCGAUUAACCUCGCCCCGUGGAUCCGCCUGGCUCGGCGUUCGGUCGGUUCUGCCGCAGUAGGUGUGCACUUCCCUCCCGGUAGAAACGCAGCGACCCGUUGGGUGCUGGUCUCAAGGCCCUGGAGUGGCAGCCCUUCGGUACGACCAGAAGAGCUGAUCUGUUCUAAGAAAGGUGAGCGUUCGACCCGGCAUGGGCGCGAGAGGGGUAAAAUUGGGGUCAAGCCCUGCCCAGCUUGGUCCCAGCCACUCUUCAUGCCCGGUCCGCCCUGUGUCCUUGGACAGGAUCACUGCUCCCGUUGGCGAAGCCCAUCUUCGGAUGG
rnacentral:rRNA from 1 species